rnacentral:tRNA from 1 species
ACCUGGAUAGCUCAGUCAGUAGAGCAAGAGACUCGUAAUCUCAGGGCCAUGGGUUCUAGUCCCAUGUUGGGCA